rnacentral:misc_RNA from 1 species
UUUCCGUAGGUGAACCUGCGGAAGGAUCAUUAAAAAAUUGGACUCCAUUGGUGAGUUCAUUAAUAAUCCCUACCCUUUGUGAAUUUGUUUGUUUGAAUAAUUUUUUUUCCAAAAAAAAUUAUUGAAUGUCUUUCCUUGUUUUGGUGGAGCUUGUAAAGUGAAACCAGGCAGGGGAAUGGCAAACAAUAAUUAUUUUUGAAAAAGACCUUUUUUUAAAAUUAAACUUUUUGUACUCAUUUGUCUAAAAUUAAUUUUUAUAAUAUAAAAACAACUUUUGACAAUGGAUCUCUUGGUUCUCGCAACGAUGAAGAACGCAGCAAAAUGCGAUAAGUAGUGUGAAUUGCAGAAUACGUGAAUCAUCGAAUCUUCGAACGCAUAUUGCACUUUUUUAGUUUACUAAAAAAGUAUGUCUGUUUGAGUAUCAGUAAAAUAUUCUCAUAAAAAACAUUGUUUUUUUUUAUGGUUAUGAGUGUUUUACAACGAUAACAAGUUGUUUCACUUUAAAUUCUUUGUUAUCAAAAAAAUCAUUAAAAGCUAAUUUUAAAGAUUUUUUAAAAUUGGAUAAAAUUUUCCCGUAAAAAGGAAUAACCUAAACAAUUUUAAAAAAUUAAAAUUGGUUUGAUUUUUUUUGAAACCCAAAGGAAAAAAAAACGAAAUUAACUUGAUCUCAAAUCAGAUAAGAGUACCCGCUGAACUUAAGCAUACCAAUAAGCGGAGGAAAAGAAACUAACUAGGAUUCCCUCAGUAACGGCGAGUGAAGCGGGAAGAGCUCAAAUUUGAAAUCUUCAAGGUUUUACCUUGACGAAUUGUAGUUUAAAGAAGUGUUUUCUGUUGGAGUUUUGGUAAAAGUUCUUUGGAAAAGGACAUCAUAGAGGGUGAGAAUCCCGUAUUUGACCAUUAUCUCCAGCUUUGUGAUACACUUUCAAAGAGUCGGAUUGUUUGGGAAUGCAGUCCAAAAUGGGUGGUAAAUUUCAUCUAAAGCUAAAUACUGGCGAGAGACCGAUAGCGAACAAGUACCGUGAGGGAAAGAUGAAAAGAACUUUGAAAAGAGAGUUAAACCGUACGUGAAAUUGUCAAAAGGGAAGCGUUUGACACCAGUGUUGUUUUCUCGAAAAUCAAUUAAAAAAGGCCGGAUUUUGUGUUGUAUUGACUUUAUCAGCUUUCUGCACUCUUUUCUUGUCUUUUUUAAUGCACUUUUCGUUUAACAAGUCAACAUCAAUUUCUUUUGUUGUAAAAGGGUCAUUGGAAGGUGGCUUUCUUUUCGGAGAAAGUGUUUAUAGCCUUUGGCCUCUGCAAUCGGAGAGAUUGAGGUCUGCAGCGUAGAUCCUUCGGGGUUAGAUACAUUUGUGCUAAGUUAUAGCCUUUCAUAGACAACUUGUUGACUAUGAUCAGUCAUGUAGCUUACUCGCUUAUGCUAUUU